AAGCAGUUCUACGAACUCAUUUGCAUAAAGGUCAAGGAAGUUUGUUGGGUGUUGUUUGAUUCCUUUCGAGCUUCAGCCACUGAUUUACCAACGUGUAUAUAUCAUUUGAUUCAUGUGAAAGACGACAAUAUUUACUACAGUUCAAGGUACCAUUAGAACGAGUGUGARGCAGAAGGUUUGGUUCGGAUUUCCCUGCGAUAAUUUGAUACCUUUGAUGCGUCAUGUGAUGCGUGAUUGAUUGCAACGAASUACGUAUUGGUAUUCUGAAAUUUAAGUCGAAACCUUCGAAGAGAACAAUAAGCGAUGUAAUGCAUUGCUUUGGAUGAAAACUAAACGAGACGGCGUGACAUCUUGAAAGAGAGACAAGAUGGCUACUGGAUGGUCCGUCAUUACAAAAGAAAACACUAAUUUUGUACGAUUGGUUAAAUUACUUAUGGAUGGAGGAACUCGUGCCCUUAGAGCCAUUUUUGAUACCAAGCAUCCACCUCAUGAUCUAAAAAAACAUUUGAUGGACAGCCGGAUUCAUAAUAUCUUAAAGAAUUUGAGGGCUAAAACAUUUUUUCUAACAGCAGAGCAGUGGAACAGACUGUAUCCAGCUUUAGGAUCGGCAACAUCUGCAGAUUUUGACAUGAUUCUCUUAUUUUUCCUGUUGCGCAAUAUCUGCAAUUUGCCAACACCUGUCAAUGGAUGGGACAAGGAGCCUGCAGCAACAAGUGUUAACGUGGAAGACGAUGUAGUAAGGCUGAGAUUAUACCGUAGAAAUCUCUGUAGUCACAUCUCUGAACCAGCUCUAUCAGACGCUGAUUUCCACAAGUACUGGAACGAAAUUGAAAAUGUUUUGUUAAGACAUGGAAUAGAAAAGACAGCCAUUGAUAGUCUGAAAACAAGUGGAUUAGCACUUCUGCCGGUAAGAUUUCAACCUCAAUGUAUUUUGUCAGAGUUUUUUUGAUACAUUGAAUGUUCAAGAUCUUUAUUUUUCUUAUUGUCCUAAUUUUUGCAUUCUGGUUUGCUACAAACAACUGAAUUUGCUCUUGGCUGCUCGGAGUUUGAACUUCACUUUGRAUAUUAUCAUUUUCCAUGUGUUUUUGGUUCAACUCAAACUAGCCUCAGGGUAAUAAAAUUCGCUCGAAGAAUGUUCUUCAUCGAUGCUCAUCGUAAUCUGAGCAUUUCAGCUUUACAGUUAAUGUAUGGGAUCAAAAAAACCCAUUGAUUUUAUAGACAUGCCGCAUGCCACAUGAGAUUAAGGUAAAAUGUAUUUUAUUUAAAGGGCAUACGUAUGACAUGAAAACAGUUUUUUGUUCAUUCAAAGAACGCUAUUCAAAAACCUCAAAUCUCGGGUUUUAACCAAAUCUGAUAAAAAGCUGCAAAGUUAUGAGCGUUAAAGCAGAAACCGUUGCAUCGCGACUUCAAUGUUCAAAGGAAAUAGUUGGGAUUUGAGUUUUUCUGCGACUUGGGGGCGGAGAUUGAUACUAAUCAGCCAAUGAUUG